rnacentral:SRP_RNA from 1 species
GCCGGAUGCGGUGGCGCACGCCUGUAGUCCCAGCUACUCGGGAGGCUGAGGUGGGAGGAUCGCUUGAGUCCAGGAGUUCUGGGCUGCAGUGCGCUAUGCCGAUCGGGUGUCCGCACUAAGUUCGGCAUCAAUAUGGUGACCUCCCGGGAACGGGGGACCACCAGGUUGCCUAAGGAGGGGUGAACCGGCCCAGGUCGGAAAUGGAGCAGGUCAAAACUCCCGUGCUGAUCAGUAGUGGGAUCGCGCCUGUGAAUAGCCACUGCACUCCAGCCUGGGCAAUAUAGUGAGACCCUGUCUCU